GCGCCCCGCUUCCCGAGAAGGAAGCAGGCCAGUACCAAGCAUUACCCCGAGCGCCAGCGAGAGAACGUUGCCACAGGCAACGGCCCGAAGGGCGAGGAGAGAUAGCGACGAGUUAUCCUUCCCCCACCACCA
rnacentral:sRNA from 1 species